AAGCAACGAACACCAUAGCCAUCCGUUCGUUGCUUCUGCAUCUGCUUUCAUCAACCACGAACAGCAACAGCCUUCACCCCGUUUCCCAUUGUCAAUACCAUCCUAAACGACGACCAGGACUGCCUGAAACCGGCGACCACUAGCAGUCCGCCACUCUUGUCACAGUCGUCUUCUCCACCAGCGACAGUCACACGCAGCAAACGACCACUCCUUCUCCUCCAAUCUC
rnacentral:lncRNA from 1 species